rnacentral:snRNA from 1 species
GGGUUUAAAAGAUUUACAAUGGU